GCAGCUUGCACGACGUCUUCUUAGGUCCC
rnacentral:sRNA from 1 species